UUAUAAUUAAAUAUAAAUAUAUAUAUAUACACAUAUACAUAUAUAUGUAUACUUUUUUUUUAAGAUGGAGUCUCACUCUGUCACCCAGGCUGGAGCACAAUGUCAUGAUCUUGGCUCACUGCAGCCUCCACCUCACGGGUUGAAGCCAUUCUCCUGCCUCAGCCUCCCAAAGUACUGGGAUUACAGGGACUGCAUCCACGGACUCCUUUGCUCUCUGGCUUCUGGUUGGAUUUGACCAGUGAAAUAUAUCACAGGAGACAGAGGAAGGAGGUAAGGUAUGUUGGAGCAUUUGUUGCCUUAGCUUCCUUCUGGCCAUGGGUCAGUUUGUCCCUCUAGAAGGGCUCAGCACCUGCCAGGUGUCUGUCUUCCACUGUUCUUCCAUUAGUGGAUUUAUAACUGCCCCUGUCUCCUCACCACCUUUCAUGUCUAAGGUUGGCCUGGAGUAUUGCAUAUAAUUCCUUAGUCGUUUCUCUAAAAUCUGCCUACACUUUUAUAAACAGUUCCUUUAUUCAACUCUCCUCAAGUCACCCGGUUUGUGUGUGCCAUCUGUUCAAGUAAGUCAAUAACAGUACAUUGUUUUAAUCAUUGUCAUUUUAAACAUGUUUUAACAUCUGGUAGGAAACAUACUCAAGAUUUCCACAACCUCCAAACAUGCUUUGCUAUUUAUUUAUUCUUAGGUUAGAACUACAUUGAAAUCUAAAAUAUAAUGCAUUAAAUUUUAAAAAUUAUAAUAUAAUUAAACCUGAAAUUAGUUAAAAUGUUUUAUUUUCCCAACUGAGGACAUGAAAUGCUUCCCAUUUACUCAUGUUUCCUUCACAUUCUGCUGUGAAAGUUGACAAUCUUCUUAUACAGAUCUGCAUGUUUCCUGUUAUUCCUGGGUCUUGUAGAGGUUCAACAGUGUUUCGUCUAUUGUUAUUUUAUUUUUCUCUGCUAUAAUUUCUAUCUAGCCAUAUCUGGUACCUACAUAAACAGUUCAUUUUCAUAUUUUAAAAGUCCAGCCAUGUUACUAACUUGUGUGUUCAUUCAAACAGGUUACUGAUUCUCUUGGAUAUCCUGGAUAAUCAACUCUCUUUGAUGUCUUAGAUAGGCAAACAUGUCAUCUUUUACCAAUGAUAAUUUUACUUCUCCUCUGUAAUCGCUGAAACUUUUAUGUCUCUUUCAUGUAUUACUGAAUGGUCUAAUUUCUUGAAAGGUUGUGAUAAUGGGCCUUUAGGACCUUGACUUGCACCUGAUUUUAAUUGGAAUGUCUCUAAUUAUUCAACAUUAGUAUGCAGUUGGUUCUUGAUUUUAGAUAUUCUUUAUAAUGUUUAAGAAGUGUCUUUAUAAUUUCCAGUUCACUACACGUUGCUGUUAUAUGUGUUUUCAUUUCCCAUUAAUCUGGAAUGGGUAAUAAUUUCAUUAAAUGACUUCUCAUACUUUUUGAGAUUAUUAGAAAUGUUCCUUCUCUAAUACAUGAAGAUUUAUUAAAAUAAUACAACUAAUUUUAUAACAGCCCUUUAUUUCAGGAAUAAAACCGACAUAGUCGUAGUAUACCAAUCUUUAAAUACAGUUCUGGAUCUUAAUUUCUUGGCAUUUCAUAAAGUUUUUCCCAUUUAUUUUCAAAACUACAGAUGAGAUCUUUGUUCCUUCUGUGCUAUCGUUGUCACAUUUUGGUGAAAUAAAUUUGUGAAAUUUCUGUCUUUUCUCUGCUUUGAAACAACUUCAAUAACAUGAGAAUUAUUCCAUAACACCAUAAAAUAUUUAACAUUGCCUGUUCCUGGAGUCAUUCCAUAUUAUAGGUUUUCUACUAUGUUUUAAAUUACGUGUUUUAUUCAGGUUUUUCAUUCUUCUUGAAACAUGUUUGAUUGUUUAUGUUUUCAUUAAAAAAUUAAUUUUGAGAUAGUGAAAUGUAUUAAUAUAGAGCUUCCAUGACUUAUUCUCAAUUCAAAAAAACUAAAAACUGUAUUUUGAAUUUGUCAGUGCUACUCUUUUUUGCGUAAAUGCAUUAGCUUAUAAUCCCUGUUUGCCCUUUCUUCCUACAAUUUGAUUUUAUUGUUAUUCCUACACAUUAAAAUUUCAUAACGUUCAUCCUUAAUUAACUUAAUUCAUUUUGAUGCUUUCAAUAAUGAAAUUAUUCAUUAUUAUUCAUUUCCCUGUGUGUAUAGCUUUGGUCCCAUUCUCUACCUUCUCUUACAGUUUCUUUAUUUUUACUAGGUUUCUAAUAAACAUAUUGCGGCUUUAAUUUCCACUUAAACAUAGAAAUUGUUUAGAUAGUGCUUUUAAAUAAUUUCUAAUUAGUAUAUCUUUGCUUUCAUUAUUAAAAGUGUUUUUCAACUAUUGUUAUUAAUAUCUAGUGUUACACUAUCGGUAUAAGAGAUAAUAACCUAUAUGAUUUCUUCUUUGUAAAGUUUAAUAAGGAUUUAUUUAUGACUUGCUAACACACCCUAAAUUAUUUUAACUGUUAUUACCUACAAAUAUUAAAGGCAGGCCUUAACAUCUUGUCAUCUUGUGGGGGAGAGGGGUGCGGAUUAAGACACAUAUCAUUUUCAAGCCUAUUUGUUCUCUAUAUGUGGAAGGGAGGCAAAUACUCAAUCCAAGAGUGAUUCUUUUAUAAUGCUAAUCCCAUCCUUCUCCAUCCCUCAUACCCACUCUAUAAGCACCCAUGUGCUGUGGCUGACUAGAGAUGAGUGGUGAAAUUUUACCUUAUCAGGCAAUGACAGAUGACUUUGUUUACAAACUUUGUCUCUUGUCCUCCCCAUUCCUAGGAGAUUUAGUAGGAUAGGUUUUCUCCUGCCAUUCUCUCCAGGUGGGUACACUAGGUGCUCUUUAGAUGUCAAUUAGAUCAAAUUGAAUAAUGGAUGAGAAAAUGUCAGUCAUGUUAACAGUUCAGUACUGCACUAAUAUGGAAAGGCAUUAUUUAAAACUGAAUUUGGUAACAAUAGUAUCUAACUUUGUAAAAAUUCUAAUAUAUUUUUCCAAAUGCUUGGUAAGCCUUUUAAUAAGAACAAUUAUUGCUUCUUACAAUUGCAUAUAUUUGGGGGGGGUUCCAAAGUACUUGUUAAUCUAUUAUUUCAUGCAGCCAUUUUAAAUUAUGGUGGUCUGUAAGGAUUUGCGUCACUUGACAAAUGAAUAUUAAGCAUCAGAUAGAUAAAAUAUUAAGAAGCAAGUAAAUUCUGUGCUUAAUAUCACAAAGAUAACAGAAACAGUAAAAGAAGAUGAGCUCAAUAAUAAUUUCAAUAAUUCAAAUAAUUUCAAUAAUGAAAUUAUUCACUAUUAUUCAUUUCCCUGUUCGUAUAGCUUUGGUCCCGUUCUCUACCUUCUCUUACAGUUUUCAGCUUUUGUAAUCAUCCAUUUGAAAGAGCCCAGGUCCCACCCACAUCCCCAGGACAGUCUGAGCUGGUUGGAUUACGCAUUCCAUGCCCAGUGUAGCCCUAGUUGUUCCACAUUUUACUUUCUACAGGUCUCCCAUAUUUCACUGUAUGUAAUGUUGCUUCCUAUCUCCUCAGCUGGAAUAUGAGCUUCAUUGAUGAUGUCUGUUCUCCCUAGGUAUCUCGACUAGGGUUUCCUGAGAGAAGGAGCCCUGGGGAUGGGUAGAAUGAUUCACAGAGACAGACAUGGCAAGGAAUGAGUGUGUUGAUGGGCAGCCCGGUCACCUAGGUAUAGACCCUUUGAAACCUUGCACAACCAUUCCUUAGACAAUGUAGGCCAAGGGUAUAUGGAGGGCAUUUCAAUCUUUUCUGUCCAAAAAGCAACCCCCAAAUUAGUGGCAUCUAAACAGAAGCCUUUAUUUUUCACUUGUGAGUCAGAUGUGAGUGGCCCUGCUGAUCCAGCUAGGUUUGCUUCUCAUCACCGGUCAGCUGGGGUGAUAGCAAUUCGGCUUGCCUAGACAGCUGGUCUUCAAGCUGUGGGUCCAGCCGGUGUAGAUCUUCAGAUCUGCUCUAAGUGUCUAAUUCUUGGGUGCAGGAUGAAGUGAUUUAGCUACUUGGUGGAGAGCAGAGGAAGAUCUCAUGGCAGUGAUGGAGGGGCAGGAAGGCCAGGCCCAUUGCACAUGCAUAUUUACGUCAUAUCUACCAACAGCCCAUUUGUGAAAACAAAUCACAUGGCCAAGCCUAUAGUCAGAGGGAAAUACACUGUCUUUUUUAGAGCAAACUACAGAUUUACACAGCAAAAGGCAUGGAUACAGGAAAGAGUGAAGGGUUCAAUAAUUCACUCUACCAACAGAAGGAUUUCAAGGCUCAGACCAAAAAACAGAUGCCAAGGACAUGUACAUCACACAGAUAUAUAACAUGUAAAAUAAUAAACUUAACUAUAAUGAAAUGAAGCAAAGGGAAAACUUGCGAAGAGGUGCCUGAGGAGGUGAGGAGAAUAGGUCAUUAUUCUUUAUGUAAAAAGUGUCUGAGCUGAAUUUGAAUUGAAUGAGGACAUUCUAACCUCAUAUGCUAUGUUCUAGCAAUCUUGAAAUACUUGCAACGUUGCUGAUGCAUGGUGCUCUCUGACUCUUUAUGCCUUCAAACACACUGCUAUCUCUUAAAGUAUUCUGUCAUCAUUCAAUCCCUAUGUAUCCAGUUAAUUGGCUAAUUAACUUUAUCUUCCAGAUGGCCUCCUACAGGAAGUCCUCCCUAGCUUUUUAAAUCACUCUAGGUACCCCCAUUCUCUAUACACCUCUAGCAUCCUGUAAAUAUCCUAGGACCCUAUUCGCUAAUUAUCUGUGUACAUAAUCAAGACCGUGGUUUUAUUAAUGGCAGGGAUCAGGUCUUAAUUUUCUCUCUAUUCCUAGGGCUUACAGCAGUAGUGCACAGUAGACAAACAAUUAUUGGCUGAAUAAGUAAAUAUCUGAAAGGCUUUCAGCAUGAACUUAUGGAAUCAAAAGAGGCUAAAGGAAAAUGUAGAAGGAGAAGUUUACAAGUUAUUUUUUGGUACAGGUUUUUUAAGUCUGUUUCUAUUACUGAAUAAAAAUAUUCUGACUGAAUACAAAGUUGGAACUGUUUUAUAUUAAACAACAGGGCUCUAGUUCUAGUCUGGUGUAAACUAACUGACUGAUUACUGGCAUGUUUGGGAGUUAAUUCAUUGUUCUGGGUCCUACUUUUUUCAUGUAUUUUAUGAGAGGGCUGUACCAGAUCAUCUCUAAAUUCUAAAACUCCGUCUCUUAACAUUUUUAUUUCUAAACUUAUUUACUUUGUUUAUAGUUGAAGAGACUACAGCAUGGGGCAAGUAGCUAUAGAAGUAGCUGAGGAGGGUUUACAAGAGAAAAUACAAGUUUGAAUUAAAAUGACUACAUUCAAAGUGAGAAAAAUAUCUAAUACUCUUGCAUAGAAUGAGAACAAACUUGGAUUGCCUAUUGGACUACUACUAAACUACUCAAUCAACUGCAAUAUAUUAUAAUUUUCCUAAUUAGAUAAGAAAUUAUUUACCUUAGUAGUCUUUUUUUGUGAUUUUUACCUCUUCUAAUAUCUAUUUUAAUCCAAAUGCCCACUGUAUGCAGUUGCAUAUUAACUAAGAUGUAUAGAGAAAUAUAUUAUCUGAUGAAUGUAAACCCAGGUACACAGAAGGUCACUGAGGGAAAGGCACAACCAACCAUGAGAAGAGAGAAUGAUUAAUGCCAUUGAGGAAGAGUGAACGAGGCACUGUGGUCUCAGAAGCGUGCUUAUGUUGUUCAAGGAACCAGAGAAGGUUUUCUUGAGCUGAAACUUCAAAGGGAGUAGGAACUGGAAGGUGAAUGUCUGAGCUACCUGUUGUUCAUAUCUAACUACCCUCCCAGUUAUAAAAUGUCACAGCUGCCUAAAAUGGGUUAUUGGACUAUGUGGGAAAUCACUAAUAUAGCAAUCUCGAUAGACUUGCAAAGCUUUCUCCCUUAAACCAUAUUUCAAUGAAAACUAGGAGCUGAUGAGAUAUUCUACUUGGGAAUAGGCUCAUCCCAUCUGGUUCUGAAUCCAUUGAAAAACAUAUACAGUACAGGAUUCAGGAUGAAGAUAUCAGCUUGAUCUCAGGUAAAAAUGGACUAGAGAAGUUGGUUAGGCCUAGAAGCCAAGAUGGGUUUUGUAGUGUAUCCCCUCUGCCAACUCCUUCCCCACUCCACCCUUACAGUUGAUUUUACUUGCUUAGUCACAUACAGAGUUUCAGGAGAAUCUAGGGCACCCCAUCCCAUGGCAGAGCUUUUCCUGGUCAUUUAUCACAUGGAAGAGAAGUUGGAGACACACAUACCCCGCAAGCAAGAGAGAGUGGAGGAGAAGGGGCCAUGCAUCUGUAAGGCACUGUCCCCAAAUUCUGUUAAUCAGGUAGGUCUCUUCUCCUCUCAGGCAGAGAGAGUCAGUUGGAGAAAAUGGUAGGUAUUGUCUCCUCUAGGAUUCCAAAAAUGGUGGAUGCUUUCACAUGAGCCAGGUGGGCAUACGGGAGAGAAAGAGCAUGAAAAUGAUUUCCUAUCAUCCAUCUCCUCACUCCCAUCCAAAGUAAGGACUGCCUUAGCAAUUUCUGGAUGGUCCCCCACAAAGGCAUAGAUUUCAUAAAAGAGACUUUCAGAAUGUAAUGAGUUGAGUUGGGGAGCUGGUGAUGUUGGGAAAAGAGAGCACAAAAUCCUUUGUGAAGGCCCCUCACAAAAAUUUUCCCAGUUGGGCAUAACAUCCUCUGUAAUCCUAGCCCUAACCUAUACCUGCCUACCUACCAAGUAUCUAGGAGAUGUUUCAAAAUUUCAAAGGUAAAGACCAAACAUGAAGGAACAUUAAAAAAUUACAAAAUAUUUAUUCUGUGACAAAGUAAUAAAUGCACAUUUCCAUGAAGAUUAAAUCUAGAACCAAAGUAAACUAUCAGCACAACCUCAUGAGGAGUUCUAACUUUCUCAUAUUGGCUAAUCCCUUUUAAUCAACCUACUGGAGUGACAUGCCAAAGGGACUUAAGCUAAGGCCUAGGUUUCCUGUGUCUGGGUUUUGUAUGUGUUAUGCCCUUUUGACCCUAUUUUUUUGGAGUAAAGUAUAUUCACUGGAAGGGUAGUGACAUAGAAAGAUCACAAAAGCGUUGUCAGGAAUCCUGGGUUGUAAUCUCACUUGUGUAAUUUAAUACCUGUGUGACCUUGGGCAAGACAUUCAAUUUCCAUUUGCAUUUAAGUGCUAUCAUCUGUAAAAUGAGGUACUUGAAAAUGUCAAAAAUUCCUUUCUAAUUUUAAUUUUAUGUAUUACAUUUAAGUCUAUGAAAAGUCAAUAAAAUAUAAAAAUUUCAUCAUUUGUUAUGUGUAGUGAGCUCUGUUAAGAUACUUACAUAAUGUCAUUUAAUCUUCCCAACAAUGCUAUGCGGUAAGAAUAAUUAUCCCCAUUUUACAGAUGAGUAAACUUGAGCUCUGAAGCAUUAAGUGAUUUGCUCAGGGUAAGAGGGAAGGCUGGGAUGAAAACCUAUGGCUUAUUCCAAAGCUCACUUCAUUUACCAUGUACUCCUCUAAAAAUAGUAUUUGCAAACUGUCAACUUUUCAAAACCUUUCCCUGUACCUGAGUUCCUGAGGUUCCCGUGACCAUCUGUUUUUAGCCCCAUUUUUCAGAUGAGCAAACUGUGGUUUCCAGAAGCUGAGUUGCCCAAAGUCAGAAACAUCAUUCGAAUCAGAGCUGAAACUUCUCCCAGAUGGCCCUAGGGCUGAGCGCUGGAAGGCUGCUUAUUUUCUCUGAGGCAGACCACACUUGGCCACUUCUCCCAGAGCCAGUUGUUCUUCAAAGAAACCCCAAUCACUGGGGCAGGCACCCGGCAGCUACUCUGACUCAGGCAGACAAUUCCAUUCAUUUCCUGGGUUGGAGCAUUCUGAAAUAACUCUUUUUCUUCAACACAGUCCUAUCUUCAUGAGGCAGUAUUUGUUGCCUCUUUGAUUAAAUCCAUUAGCUAUUCAGCCACAGCUGCCCUUCGAAAAGCAGCACGCCUCUAAAAGCCGCACAUUCAGCAGCUAAAUGAUUCUGAGCCAAACCAGGGAGAUCUAACCCAUCCAGCCAACAGUGAGGAAUGUGAGCAAAACACACAACAUCAGAGUUGGAACGGGACUUUGAAAUCGUGAAAAGUACAAAUCCCUCAUUUUACAGAUGGGGAACCUGAACCCAGAAUCAAGAAGAGACAGCUCAAAUCCAGGAAAUGAUGGAGCCAGGGUCAGAAAUUAGUGCUUUUUUUUUUCCUUUUCUUUUCUUUUCUUUUUUUUUUUUUUUUUUUUUGAGAUGGAGUCUCACUCUGUCACCAGGCUGGAGUGCAGUGGUGCGAUCUCAGCUUAUUGCAAACUCAGCCUCCUGGGUUCAAGCAAUUCUCCUGCCUCAACCUCCCGAGUAGCUGGGAUUACAGGUGCAUGCCACCAUGCCUGGCUAAUUUUUUCUAUUUUAGUAGAGACGUGGUUUCACCGUGUUGCCCAGGCUGGUCUCGAACUCCUGAGCUCAGGCAAUCCACCUGCCUUGGCCUCCCUAAGUGCUAGGAUUACAGGCAUGAACCACCACACCUGGCUGGUUUUCUUUUCUAUUCAAUUAGGGGGAUCUCAACAACACAAGACAGAAUUCUAUUAUGAUGUGGAAUGAGAGCAAUCUAGGACUCAGGCUGACAGAGCAGCUCUCUCUGCAACAUCGCUGGUCAUUAUGGGUUGAAUUGUGUCUCCCUAAAAAGAUGAUAAAGUACUGUCCCUCAGUACCUGUGAAUGUGAUCUUAUUUGGAAAUAGAAUAUUUAGUUGAUCAGGUGAAGAUGAGGUCAUUAGGGUGAACCUCUAACUGAAUUUGACCAUUGCCCUAAUAAGAAGGAGAAAUUCAGACAUAAAGACAGAUAUGGGCACAGGGAGGACAUCUUGUGAAGAUGAAGGCAGAGAUUAGGAUGAUGCUUCUGCAAGCCAGGAAAUGCCAAAGAUUGUCAGCAAACCACCAGAAGUUAUGGAAGAAUCAUGGAACAUUCUCUCUCACAGCCUUAAGAAAAAAGAAAAAAACCUGCAAACACCUUGAAUUUUGAUUUGUAGCCCCCAGAAGUAUGAAACAAUAAAUUUCUCUUGUUUAAGCCACCCAGUGUGUGGUGCUUUGUUAGGCAACCCCAACAAACUGAUACACUGGCUUUGUUGCAGAGAGAUGCAAGAGAGAAAGAGAUGUUGCAGCAGCUGCAAAACAGAGAUACAAAGCAGGUGCUGCCUUCCAAAGCUUCUGCUCAUACUCCACUGGACAAAGCACAUCACACAGC
rnacentral:lncRNA from 1 species